rnacentral:tRNA from 1 species
GAAAUAAGUUAUUCAAGUAUAAGCUUCUAACUUAAUACUCAAGCAGUGUAAGUCUGUUUUUAUUUCU